UACGUAGGGGGCAAGCGUUGUCCGGAAUCAUUGGGCGUAAAGAGCGUGUAGGCGGCUUUACAGGUCCGUUGUGAAAACUCGAGGCUCAACCUCGAGACGCCGGUGGAAACCGUAAAGCUAGAGUCCGGAAGAGGAGAGUGGAAUUCCUGGUGUAGCGGUGAAAUGCGCAGAUAUCAGGAAGAACACCCGUGGCGAAGGCGGCUCUCUGGAACGGUACUGACGCUGAGACGCGAAAGCGUGGGGAGCGAACAGG
rnacentral:rRNA from 1 species